rnacentral:RNase_P_RNA from 1 species
UAAGGAAAGUGCAACAGAAAAAUACCGCCGGUCUUUGGCCGGUAAGGGUGGAAAGGCGAGGUAAGAGCUCACCAGCGAAUCGGCGACGGUUCGGCUCUGCAAACCCCAUCCGGAGCAACACCGUGGAGGGACAUAAGUGUGACCCGCACGUCCCGGGGAGGUGGCUUGAGCCAUUCGGAAACGAAUGGCCUGGAUAGAUGGUUGUCCAAGACAGAACCCGGCUUACAGACUUGCUCAGAAG